rnacentral:rRNA from 1 species
UGACGUGGAGCAAACCUCAGAAAGCCAAUCUCAGUUCGGAUUGUAGGCUGCAACUCGCCUACAUGAAGUUGGAAUCGCUAGUAAUCGCGAAUCAGAAUGUCGCGGUGAAUACGUUCCCGGGUCUUGUACACACCGCCCGUCACGCCACGAGAGUUUACAACACCCGAAGUCAGUGGCCCAACCGAUAAGGAGGGAGCUGCCGAAGGUGGGACCGAUAACUGGGGUGAAGUCGUAACAAGGUAGC